ensembl:lncRNA novel transcript, antisense to FERMT2
GCUCCCCAAGGCCUUUCCCACCGCGUCAUUGUCUCGGUUUAUCUGCAGAUACGUCUACCUAGCAGUCAGCCCAGCAGCGUAAGUGGUGACCAGUGUGGGCCUCUUUGAUCCUGAGACCGAAGGCUCGGCCACUGGCCCUCUCCAUUUGUUCCUUGUUGCCCUCCCUUCAUGAUUCAAUCCAUUAAUUAGGACUUUUCCUACCAGCUGGCAGUUCAGAGCUCCGCAUCCCCAGGCCUCUGAGUCACAGUUCCUGCCUUCAUGAAACUAGGAGUUGGGGCCACUGCAUUCUACUCCUUCGGGACUAUUGUUUCAUUUCUCAGUCCCUCAAACCCUUUAUUGGAUGAACAUGGGGUUAGGACAGCGGUUCUCCACUGCAACAGUUUUGCCUCCCAGGAGACAUUUGGCAAUGUAUGAAUCAUUUUCAGCCUCUCAUCUGGGGUGAGAUGUCAUUGGAAUCUACAGAUGGUGGAGGGCACAGGUCCUAAUUUCAACGUAUUUCCAUAUGUUCUUUAAAAUCACCUGAAACUGCCCUGCGCAGGCUCACACCACGGCUCUGUACCAAGGGCUUGGACCCGCCUGCAGCCAGACGGCAUCUCACUAGAUGUCAUCAUCAUCAAAGAGAUCUUCAAAACCAUUUAAAAAGUCUACAUGAACAGCCUUUUCAUUAGUUGCCAAGUCCAUCAAGAACCUGGUGCUGCCUCCCGCCUCGUCCAGGUCCACGUAGGGCCCGGCGCCCUUGGAAACAUCUCAUCCACGGCCAGCUACAUCUUGGGCUGCGGCGCUCUAGGCCCACUUCCGGCCACGGGGCCGCUUCCUAUUUUUCUAUUUUUUAACAACUCCCCAUAUUAAUAUUCAUUCACUCAUUGACUGUUAAGCCCUUCUAUGUAUCAGGAAUUGUUCUAGGUACUAGGACAUAUCAGUUAAGAAAACAUUUGUUAAUCCUUGCCUUCAUGUAGUUUAUUAGAUUGUGAACAGAUCAGAAAAAAACAUGUAAAAAAUUAUAAAAUGUUAGGUGAUCAAAGUUAUGGUGAAAAACAGGAAAGGGAAGAGGCAGAAGGAGUGUUGAGGUGCAGUGUUAAAUAGAGUAGUCAGAGAAGACCUCUCUGAAAUGUCAUUUGAGUUAAAUUCUGAAAGGUGUGAGGAAGUCAGCCUUGUGACUAUGUCUAGAGGAAGAGCAUUCCAAGAAAAUAAAACUGUCAGAGUGGCUUGGUGAUGCCUGAAAAUGCAUUUUACUAUUUUUGUACACGUCUGAAAUUUUCCAUGAAACAAGUUAAAAAAAAAAGUAGCCCUGGUAAAAGGGAGGUUGAAGCGGGCGGAUCACUUGAGGUCAGGAGUUGGAGACCAGCCUGGCCAACACGCUGAAACCUCGUCUCUACUAAAAAUACAAAAAAAAAAAUUAGCCGGGCGUGGUGGCGGGCGCCUGUAAUCCCAGCUACUUGGGAGGCUGAGGCAGGAGAA